GCUGCAGCUAAAACCAGUCCAAUGCAACAGACGUUUCAAAAACAGCAGCAGAAAAAUGAUGACCUAACUGAAUGGAACAAGAAGGCACGUAUUUUCAAGAAGACAUCUCUAUUCUUAGAGUAGAAAUUUCCCUUCAAGAUGACAAGUGGUUCAAACCCUUCAGGAUCUUACUUGCCCUCAAAAGUAAGGUGAGCCUUGAACAGAUGCCAAGUGGUAACUAUCCAGAAGGGAAAGGAGAGUCUCUAUUAUUAACCUAGGCUAAAGACAGAUAUUAUUCUUCCCACAGAUGUUCCAAAAUAGAUGACAACUACUUGAAGGAAUUGAAUGAGGACUUAAAGCUAAGGAAGCAGGAACUGCUAGAGAUCCUAAAACCUCUUGAAGAUAAGAACAAUCUCUUAUUCCAGAAGUUGAUGUCUAACUUGGAAGAAAAACAGAGAAGGUAAGGGCUCCCUACUCAGGAUUUCCUAGAGGGGAAAAAGCUGGAGAACUUUAAUCCAUAGGAUUAACAAUGAUUAUUUACAUUUUUAAAAAGGUUUAGACAUUAAGCUAUAAUAGAUAAAGAAUUUGUAGCCACAAAUCAGUGGCAAGUAAUCUUUUAUUUACUUUUAGUAAAAUUACAUAUGACUCAGCCCUCAUCUCAAGGAGCUACAGCUAUCACCCUUCUUCCCUAGGAUGCCCACCCGAGGAACAGAGAAGAGCCUUUAGUAUCGUCAGUGUAUCAUGGUUACACUGAUAGCUCCUUAUACAUGUUUGUGGAAUCACUUUAGGGUAGAUGACUCUGCCCUUCCCAUGCAAAGCAGUGAAAUAGAAAAAUUUUCUGGGCCUAGGAGUCUUCUGGAGGUCUGGCCUCUUUAAUAUGCUAGGCAGAUAAGGUCUCAACUCUUAACUAGAGCACUCACUGUUCUUGGGACCCACCAACUUUGUUUCCUUUCCAGUCUCAAAGAAUCUCACCUUAAUGGAUCUAUCUUCAUUCUUUACCCUUACAGUAAGCAUCUCAGGGAGCCCCGACUUUUGGAGAGCAAAAGCCAGGCAGAAAGUUGUGAUCAAGCACCAGCUGCUUACAAUGCAGAAAUAAACGUCUCUCAGGGCAAGAGAACACAAAGGCUUGCUUCGCUGCUUAUAAUUAAGGAGGAAAAAGUACCAUAAACAUAAGCAUAAAUUAAUGUUUUUAAAGAAUAGAGAGUCUUUGACUCACUUGGUAUUGAUUCAGAUUUUGUUAGAAACUUCUUGAUGGCUUGGAUUCUCUGAGAGCUACCAUAAGGAUAUAAGUGGUUUCCCCAACUAACUCAAAUGUCUUUCACAUGGAGAAGCAAUACCAACAGAGAUGGGGUAGGACAUAAUUCUUGGAUUUAUGCUGAAGUCAACAGAUUCUAUGAACUCCUUCUUCACAGGGGCAAAACACCCUUUCUACUCAAAAGCCAUACACCAAAAUAUUUUUCUGAAGGAGUAAAGAAGAGUCUCACUGGCUGUUGGAGGCCUAAGUUUUGAGCAUUGUUGAACACAGAAUUCAUUUUAGAGCACAUAGCUGAGGCAAAUGUCAAUUGGGAAUAAAAUCAUCCUAUAGAGAGCUACUAUGUCCAGAAGGAAUUCUGUAAUUCCUAUGACUUUGGCACCCAUCUCUCUCCCUUGACAGAACGCUUUCUGACUGCUUGCAGAGUAUUAAUACUACCCUUUAGGAAGUAUUAUGUUUUGUGACGUCUUUUCAUUCUAGUCUACAGAUCAUGAGGCAGAUCAUGGCAGGAAAGGGGAGUGAAGAAUCCUCAGUCAUGGAGCUCAUUAAGGAAGCAGAGGACAUGAAGCAGAAUCUGGUAAGAGGUUGGUGGGCAUUUCAGGGAAUUGCCUCCUGAACAGGGCUCAACUCAAUUACUACCAUCAGAUGUGGAAGGAAAGACAGUUCAUCUCUAGCAUCUGAGGCUCCAAUACUCCUAUCUCCUUCAUCUAGAAAGGGGUCAGAUGAAAUGUUGGGCAAAUUCAAGACUUGGUAGCAAAAAUUCUAUUUCUUUUUGACUCUUAAAAACUUUUCAUUUAGGGGUUAGUAAUACAAGCAUAUUAACCCUUCACAUUUCAGAAAGAAUAGAAAAUACCAAAGUAAAAUAAAAGAAAUAGUUUGCUUCAGGAGACUCAUAAGAGUUUAAAAAACCAACAAGGUAAAGGAUCUUAAAAAUUAUAAAUUAGUGGUCUAAGCCCCAGAGAAACUUCUGUAUGAUCAGAACAUCUUAAGUGUUGUGUGAGGAACACAUUUCUGUUGAUAUCAUACUAUGAUUACCAUAAUUAUAGUUAUUAUUAAAAAUCAUUAUUAUUUUUUUAUUAUCAUCAUCAUCAAACUCAUCUCUCAUGUUCCUGGAUUUUGAGCUAGGUCUAUUUAUUGCCUUCCUUUAUGGUUUGUUUUAUACCUGUGUCCCCAUCCCUUUCCCCUCAUUAUUUACAAUUUCUUCCAAUUUCACUUUAAUGACUGGACAAACACGUUUCUGUUUGUUUGGUUUCCUCCCCACCCCCAACAGGAAAGGAAAAACAAGAUGCUUCGGAAGGAAAUGGAGAUGCUAUGGAACAAGGUGUGCCUCUAAGGAUCUCUUGAUAGAAUUGUCUUACAGACCCUAAUGCAAAGAACUUCCCUCUCCUCUGGUCCCCAUUCUCAUUUUGUCACGUCCCGGCUUCCAUCCUUGCCUCCUUCCAAUCCAUCCUUCGCACAGCAGCCAGAGUGAUAUUUUUGAAAUAAUCAAAUCACGUCGUUAUUCUUAUGGAAACCAUUUAUAGCUGCUCCUUAUUGUGGCAUAAUGUGGCUGUUGCCUGCCUCUCUCUUCUCAUAGAAGUCUUCCCCUUACUUUCUAUGCAACCCACACGGGCCUCCUUAUGGAUUCUCAAACAUGCCCAGACUCUUCCUAUCUCAAGGCUUUUGCUUUACCCUGGCCUAUAAUACUAUUUCUUUUGGUUGGCUCAUAUUCAUGCUUCAGGUCUCUGCUUAAAUGUCACCUCCUCAGAGAGGUCCUCCUUGUUCACUCUAUCUAAAAUAGGGCACCCCGGGGCGCCUAGGUGGCUCGGUCGGUUGGGGGUCCGACUUUGGCUCAGGUCAUGAUCUCGUGGUCCCUGAGUUCCAGCCCUGUGUUGGGCUCUGUGCUGACAGCUUGGAGCCUGGAGCCUGCUUCAGAUUCUGUGUCUCCCUCUCUCUCUCUGGCCCAUCCUCCCUCUCUCUCUCUCUCUCAAAAAUAAAUAAAUGUUAAAAAAAUUUUUUUGGGGGGGGCGCCUGGGUGGCGCAGUCGGUUAAGCGUCCGACUUCAGCCAGGUCACGAUCUCGCGGUCCGUGAGUUCGAGCCCCGCGUCGGGCUCUGGGCUGAUGGCUCAGAGCCUGGAGCCUGUUUCCGAUUCUGUGUCUUCCUCUCUCUCUGCCCCUCGCCCGUUCAUGCUCUAUCUCUCUGUCCCCAAAAUAAAUAAACGUUGAAAAAAAAUUUUUAAUUAAAAAAAAAAUUUUUUUUAAUAAAUAAAAUAGGGCACCCCUUCCUCACUUUCUAUUAUAUAACUCUAUUCAUGUCCUCCAUAACACUUUUUAUAAUUAAACUUAUUAUUUUUAUUUUAUUAUUAUUAUUAUUAAUUAUGAUUAUACUUGUUUCUUAUCUCCCUGACCCCCUCUGGAAUACAAGCUCCUCCAGUUUCUUGACUGCUUUGUUCAUCUCUGAAUCCUUAGCAUGUAGCACAAUGCUUAGAACAUAGUAGACAAUAAAUGUAAGUUGGAUGAAUGAAUGAAUAAAUACCUAAUUCUAAUUCUCCUAUGAUUUUGCAACAAUCACGGCAUUGCCUAAUAUAUAAUAGUAGGGCCUUUUGCUGGGAAACCAGGUGGGAGUGGAUGUUCCUUUGUAGUCUAAGUUGUUGGGAUUUGAGUGCUUUUUCACAGACUAGAAGACUAGAAGAAUAGAUUGUGUCUUGUGAUAUAAACAGUGUGUAGUGUGAUCUCUGACUGCUUUUUUCAUAUUAACUUUCCACAAAUAAUCAGGAUACCAUCAAGUCUUGCAUCUUGACCUGAGAUCUGCUCCUACUUCUCAGAGGUAGCUACAAAUCAGUUCUGUGAAUUGUCAGUUUUAGUUCUUCUGUUUUUGAGUCCUAGUGAUAAGAACUAUGCCAGCACAAUUUGUCUAUGAAAAUCCAGCUUCUUCAAAGCUCCCAAAAGAUUUUAAAAGGGAUGUCCCUGUAUGUUAGCUUGUGAUUGGCUUUCCCUACCCAUAGGGAGAGAGAAAAACAGUAUGGUCAGGGGUUAAGAACAUAAGCUUCAGGGUUCACAAGAUCUGCUUCAAAUUCCAGCUCUGUACUUUUGUAGCUGUGUGACCCUAAACAAAUGACUUAGCCUCUUCAAAUAUCUUUUCCUCAUUGGAAAAGAUGGAAGUAAAAAUAGUCCUGUGAGGCUUAAAUGAGAAUGUUUGUAAUGUAGUAGCAUAUUGUAAAUAAGUAAAGAAAUGUGCAAGUAGCUUACAGUACUUAUGGCUUAUAAUAAGGGUACAGUUAAUAGUUUUUAUUGUUAUAAGUUACACUAAAGACACCAAAUAGAAGGACUUGUUCCAUUCUGAACCCCAUUUGGUAGUACACUUUUCUGGUCGAACCCUGACAGUUUCCUGACUGGCAGAAACCAAAAAACCUUGACUUAUAUUGGUUUUCCACUUCCCUCACUAAUUCCCACUAAUUUAAAGCUUUGCCAAAACGUCUCUCUACAGACAUUCGACACAGAAGAACUUGGUGAUCAACAAAAAGCACCGCAGAUAAAAAACAAAGCAGACUUGCAGGAGGGGAAGGCAAGUGGACUACAUGUUACUUAGAAUUUCAGGGUUGUUGAUGCCACACUGCUGGAAACAGCCUGUUGACAAUCAGGGCUAAUUUGGGCAGGCAAAUAGGCGGGAUCUGGGCCUUGAGCAUAUGUGUGUUGGAUUUACUGUUGGCUGAGACAUUGUACUUCUUUCCCGGGACCUUCUCUUCCUUUAGCUCUCUUCUUUUAUCCAAGGUUCCCAAAACCCCCUCCUCACCUAGGAAGACCAAGAAUGAACUGGAGACAUCAUGUGCAGAGAAAGUGAAAGAGAAAAAGAAGGUAGUGUGAUCUUUCUGAAUGGUAGGGGCUUUUAGAGGUGAUAGAAUGGAAAUUUUUAAUAAUGUAUUAGUAUGCUCCUGAAACUGAUACAAGUUUUAUAGGAGAUGUGGUUCCUUUGGGAUAUUAUAUUUGAAUCAGAGUGGCAUUGCAAGUUUAGGGGAAAUAACGUUGACGAGGGCAAAGUGGGAGAAACUAUACCAACAAUGUAACUCCACAAUAACUAUGUGAUGUCAAAAUAAUAGCUAAUUUGUUUUUGAACAUUUAUUUAGGGAUAUUAUGCUUGUAUCUAAUCUUCUCACAACAAAUUUAUUCAUAAAAAUUGAUUCUAUUCAUUUAGCUUUUAGCUUUUAGAGCAUGGAUUGUACCGAUGAGGGCUACUAGAAGGACUGUGCAGUUGAAACCAAUCUGUUAGUGAAUCUAUGACAGCAUACUUUGGCUAUGAAGUCUUUGCAGCAUUUUGAGAACGUUGAUUUCUGAUCUCAAUUUAUUUUGUCACCCAGAAGCUCUUUCUUCCACCAGGAAAAGCCACAGAGGAAAAUGGAAUGGGUCAGGUAUCAGGAACAAGCCAACAUCCUUCAGGUACUAAGAUCUUCCAAGGUUGGACAUGGGAUACAGUUUCACUCAAAUAAUACAACAUCUUUUAGUUUCAUAAUAGUAAUCCCUAUGCCCUCCUCUGGAUUACCAAUUAUCCUGCUAAAAGAAAUGUUCCAUGGCGAGAUUGCUGUGGAAACCUAUCUCCAGCUUCACCUUGAAUAACCUAAGAUAAAUACAUUUUUUUUCCUUUAGUCUUGAUUUUGUUCUAUUUGAAAUGGGGGUGGGGGGAAUCACAAAUACUUUCUGCCCAACUUUAAAGACUGAGCAUGAUGGGAUCAUUUUAAACUUCUGAGUAAAAAGGUUUCAAGUAACAGGUGGUUUAGAGAAGCCAAUACUAUAUGUGUAGCUCUGAAAAAUGUUCUCCUGUAGAAUGGCUUUAAUGGCAAAAUGAUUGAGUUGAGAAUUGAAGCCUUGAAGAACUACCAGAAGGCCAAUGACCUGAAAUUAUCACUGAACUUACAGCAGAAUUUGGAGCCAAAGCAAGCAUAUUUUAAUCUUCCUGGGUCUCGAGGUAGGUAAAGUAUCGGUAUACAUGUGGAGGUUUUAUUUUAUGUUACAUUGAAAAUUCCAUUCCUUGCAAAGUGAUUACCACAAUGCCUGGCACACAGUAAAUUAAAUGUUAGUAGUGACAUAAUAAGUUUUAUAACUAUCAUUAUUAUUUCUCAGAAGCUCUGGUAAAGUAAGGAUUCCUCUGGAGAAAAUGAAUUUUCUUUUGUAAAGACUAAAUUACAUAUUAUGUACUUAGUAUAUGUAGUUGAUACAUAGUUGACACCUGAUAACAUUAGUUUCCUCCCCACUUCCUCCAUUUUCCUAGGAAUUAUUGUAGUUUGAUCUCAUGAAUCUUGUUGGAAUAGACUCUGCUAUUUCAGAACAGAAGGCCAAAGAGAUAGCCAUCUGACAAUGGGUGUGAGUUUUGCCAAUCCAGAUUUUUCUCUGAGAUUUUCAGUGUUUCCUCCCCCCUCCCAAAGAAUUUAUGGCAUCAUUAGAGAAAACAGUAACUGAUUUUACCAUAAAAAAAAAAAAAGAAAAGAAAAAAGAAAAGAAUGGGGGCGGCUGGGUGGCUCAGUCAGUUAAGUGUCCAACUUCGGCUCCAGUCAUGAUCUCAUGGUUUGUGAGUUCAAGCCCCGUGUUGGGCUCUGUCCUGACAGCUCAGAGCCUGGAGCCUGCUUCAGAUUCUGUGUCUCCCUCUCAAUCUCUCUACCCCUCCCCUGCUCGUGCUCUGUCUCUCUCUCUCAAAAGGGAAUACACUUAAAAAAAUUUUUUUAGGGGCGCCUGGGUGGCGCAGUCGGUUAAGCGUCCGACUUCAGCCAGGUCACGAUCUCGCGGUCCGUGAGUUCGAGCCCCGCGUCAGGCUCUGGGCUGAUGGCUCGGAGCCUGGAGCCUGUUUCCGAUUCUGUGUCUCCCUCUCUCUCUGCCCCUCCCCUGUUCAUGCUCUGUCUCUCUCUGUCCCAAAAAUAAAUAAAAAACGUUGAAAAAAAUUUUUUAAUAAAAAUAAAAGAAUAGCUUCUGAGGGACAGGAGAAAAGGUUCUUAAAUUUUCAGGGAUCUAUGAAUCUGAACUCUAUUUUUUAAUUUAAAUUAUUUUUAUAAUUUAAAUUAUAUAUUUUUUAAUUAAUUACGUAUAACAUGUAAUAUAUACAAAAGAACUUACGGAAUAUAUGUAAUUGUGAAACAAGAUAAUAAAAUUACCCCCCAUGAAUAUACCAGUCUACUUAAGAAUGGGAAAAUACUUAGUACAGAUGCUCCUGUGUGGAAUCUGAAUUCUAUUUUAAAAAAGACACAUGCAGUGAGAAAUCAUGGUUAGGGGAUGACAAUGUUUUAUUAGUAUUGGUAUCAGUAUGUAUAUCUCUAAUUUCUUCUCAAUCUUAUUCUAUUAAGGGCUUGAACAGCUAAUAAAAUCACACAGAGCAUAUAAGAUUAAAUAAAUAUAUGAGUAAAUCAAAUCAAAGAGAAAAUAAGUUGAAGCCAGGUAAAUACAUGAAAAUACAUGAUGAAAGUAUUAUAUAUAGUUUGUAGAAGCAGGCUUCAAACUUGGUUCUGGAUUUCCUAGAAAAAGAAACAUGGGUUUACAUUGUCCACAAAAUAAUAAUAAACCAAUUGCUCAGGAGAAAUAUGGAUUUUACUAGUACUGAGACCAGAGAGAAAUUUCUCUUCCAUGGAGAUGGGAUACUCUACAUAUGUUAUAGUAGCUAAUGUCUUCAACAAUAUUUCUAAGGUGAAUUCAGAAUCUAAAUUUCCUAGCCUGUUUCUUAUCUUUGUUGGCACAAUAUAAUAAAAAAAUUAUCAGUCUGAAAUUUUUAAAAAGCAAUGGGUCAGUUCAAGAUGAUUUGGUCCAUGUGCACAGCACACUAUUAGUCUGACUUGGCCCAUAGAUAAAAUUUACAAAAUCUAGAUGGCUGGAUCUACUACCCAUCCUUUAACCCGUGUUCUACUUAUAUUUUUUCUUUUAACUAUUGCUUGAUAAGAAUUGGAAACAGAAAGCUUGAGAUUUUCUUCUCCAAUAAGAACCUAGAAUACAAUCAGAAGCAAUAUAAAGUCAUCAAGGUAUAAAUUUAAAAGAUGGAGGAGAAGAGGGUAUGAGAAGGACAGAUUCUUGUUUUACUUUAAAAUUAGCUGAAGGUCAUUUCAAAGGAUCUUAGAGUAAGGAGUUUAAAAUCUUUUAGCUCCAGAUUCAAAUCAAGUCAAGAUUAGUAAAUAGUGAAGGGUUCCAUUUGAUUCAAUCACCCUAUGGAGAUUAUUUUUUUUUCCUUCCUUCCUUGCAGAACGUUGAAUCUUUGAACUUUGGACUAGGGCAGCCCACAGAUUGUACCCUCUUUUCUCUUAUCUCCUCUUUAUGCUUUUGGAGAAUUAAGUGAUAGGGCACUAAAUUUCCAGUUACCACAAAUGAAAGUAGCUACAGGCAUGUGUGACCCAUUACUGCUCUGUCUUACUGAUUGUGCAUUCACUGAACACUGAUUAUAGGCCAGUUUCAUUUUCUAACACCCACAUAACACAAAAUCUUUGGGUUUAUUUGAGCCUAGGGGAUCUGAAAUCUGAGUCCUAGAUUUUGCUUAUGUUGACUUAUUUGUUUGAUUAUUGAAAAAAGAACAAAAGAAGCAUUAGUUUUCUUCAUAGAGGGAUUUUUAAAGUAAUUAUGUUAAGAUAACAUUAUCAACAGUGUUGUGAUACGGUUUAGUCAUGCUCAGUGUUUCCCAAAUUCCCUUAGUCUAUUUUUUAUUCAGUAUGUUCUGUUUAGAUUGACUUCCUUAAUUUCCUAAUGCAUUCCUGGAAAAUAAAGUUAAUAUUACUGUUUUAUUAUUUUUUUAAGUUUAUUUAUUUAAGAGAGUGCACGCAUGCAUAGAGUGGAGGAGGCAGGGAAGGGAGAGGGGAAAGGGGAGUGACAGAGAAAGAAUCCCAAGCAGACUCUUCGCUGCCAGCACGGAACCUGGCCCUACACCGAAACUACAAGCCACAAGUUUAUGACCUGAGCUGUAAGUCAAGAGUCCGAGGCUCAACCUACUGAACCAUCUAAGCGCCCCAAAAUUCCUAUUUUAAGUGGAAAACCAAUAAUAGUUUUCCAUAAUAGAAAGUAAACUUAAUAAGUAUACUGAAAACAAGAUUUUAAUGUUCUAACCAGAUGCUAAAGCCUGAGGUCCAUUUUAUCUUUAUUAGGAAGUGAGAUUAGCAUGGUGUAGGGAGUUUUAAAGCAAACCUGCACCAAACUGAAAAUUUCUCCUUGAUGCAAUCGAGUUUGAAGAACUGAAAAGGGAGUAAUUUUUUCACUGUGAUUUAUAUAGUAUUUAAUGCUGUGUUCUAGCACCUCCUAAAUUUAUUUCAGUUGCCACUCAAAAUCAUCCCACCAUCAAAUUUCUGGAAACAGUACUUUAAUAGAAAAGCUCUGGUUUUACACUCAGAUAUAUGAGCCACAGGCCUUAUUCUGAGGCUAAACAGUUAAAUAACCCAGGCAAGUCAUUUAGUUUCAGUUUUUUCUUUGCCUAAGACAGUCAAAACAUAUUAUAGAGCAUAUUGAAAACAUGUGGUUUUGGGUAAUGCUCACAAUAACUCUCUAGGGUAGGUAUCAUAGGACAAAAAACUAGUCGAGAAAAGCCAGGCUUCUGACUCCAUCUCCAAAGUUCAUCUCCUAAAAUGUGCAGAAAAUGCCAGUGUUAAAGCAUAUGAUAUCUCAUGACCCUUCCACAUCUAAAAGGUAUGAUUUAAAUCUGAACUUAUCAACUUUUUAAUAUGUAAUUGUCCCAAUGAAGACUCAUACUCCCUAAGGGUAAUUUGUUUAGUAGUAAAGGAAACAGUUCAAAAUAGGUUCACAGUUUGUAAUUCUUCAUUUAACCCAGUAGGUGGCACCAAUCACAUCCAGGCUUCUAGUCCACAAAUAGUGGUAAUUCAGGAAACCUGAAAUAUCGUCAGAGAGAUUGGCCUUCUAUUACUCUUAGGACAAAAUGUGCUACAUUUAUAUAUCAAAUGAAAAAAAAAAACUAUUGAUGUUUUCUUCCAUGCUCUGCACUGAGGUGUAUUACUGGCAGCCUUGAUUAGACCUUAAUAAACUCCAUAUUCUGCUGUGCAAUCCUUACCUAUUAUUCUAUGCCUUGAACUAGAGUUCCCUCCAUUCCAAAUACAUCCACUGUCCACUUCCUCCACAAUCCCUAUCUAAUACUGUUUCUUUCCACCACGGAAAAGUCAGGUAAUUGGGACACUGAAUUAUAAAAUGAGUUGGGCAAUUGUACACGGUGUUGAUUUUUUGAAGUUUAAGUCCUUAAUACUGUUCCUAGAUACAGUUCAUUUUCCUCUAAUUUCAAAAGAAUUGAAUUUCACAAACCUGUCUUAAAGGAUGAAGUGUCAUUUUGGAUACACCUCCCAGCAAAUCAGGGUAUAGGCCCUUCUGUUCUAGGCAUUUCCAAAUAGAAAAAAGGUUUCUCCCACUACUCUUGGCCAAGAAUCCCUCCUCCCACAUAAACUGUCCUGUGUGCUGGUUGGCUGUGUUGCAGUGGUGUGAUCUAUUUGGUUGGCAAGAUACAAUCUUGUGUUAAUAUUAGUUUGUUGUACUUUACGCAAUCCAUACUUGCAAACCCUCUUGAGGCCCUGGUUAUAUAUAGCAUUACCUUUGUCAAUCUAAUCUGUUUGGCAUUCCGCCUCGCCUAGGCUUAUAGAAGAGAAAAACAUUUUAGACCGAGUGAAGUCCUUAUGGACAUGGGUCACAUGUAAAGGGAUUUGCUUUCCCACCAGUGUAAAAUUACAAUUUGACCCAGGCUAUGGAACAGUCCUUCCCCAGCCUCUGUAGAGUCAAGAGAACAGUUCGUGGUCUUUGGCAGCCAUGUAUCUUAGAGAGCACAGGCAUGAAAUAAUCUUUCAAUUCAGCUGACUUUUCCAUCAUGCCUGCUGGUAGUUUAAAGAGGAAGUUUAUCUUCGGCAAUAAUAUAACUGACGAUAAGACAUUUGAUUCUGACAGACUUCUUUUCUCUCCUCCCCUCCACCUCCUCUCCCCACUGAACUCAUACUCUUGGCAUUUCCUUGAGUUCUUUUGAGAAGAGGCUGAAGGUUGGAUGUGAAUAUUUUGCUACACUUAUAAUUUCAGAUGAAAGCCCAGUGAGGUGGGAAAUGAAUACUCUUGAGACCUUAUUUAUUCUAUAACUCUCUCUGUUCUUAAAGCAAGUCAUUCUUCCUGGCUUUAACCUUUACUUCACUUUAGUAUUACUCUUCCUGAUGGCUGACAUAUACUCCAGUAAGUGCUGCCAAAUAAUGUUAAGCUAAAAUGCUGGAAAACAGAGUCAGAAACCCACAGCUCAAAUCUGGAUCCUUGAUAAAUAUGUUUUUAGGUUUGUUUAUUUAUUUUAAGAAAGAGAGCGCAAGCAAGGUAGAGGCAGAGAGAGAGGGAUAUAGAGAGAAUUCCAAGCAGGCUCCAUGCUGUGAGUGCAGAACCUGACAUUGGGCUCGAACUCAGGAGCCAUGAGAUAUUGACUGAGCCAACCUCAAAAGUCGGAAGGAAGCUUAACCAACUGAGCCAACCAGGCACCCCUAAAUAUGGGCUUUUUAAAGCUUUGAGGCAACUUGAACCUUUUGUGGAUUUUGUUAUUUUACUUUAUUUUAUUUUGUUUUGUUUUGUUUUGUUUUAUAGAGAGGACUCACACAAGUGGGGGAGAGGGGCAGAGGUAGAGUGAGAGAGAGAAUCUUAAGUAGGCUACAUGCUCAGCAUGAGCCCAACUCAGGGCUCAAUCCUAUGACCCUGGGAUCAUGACCUGAGCCAAAAUCAAGGGUCAGACAUUUAACUUACUGAGCCACCCAGGCAACCCAACUCGAACUUUGAAUGUCAGAGUUAGGUUUCUGUUAUAGUAGUACUACAUAGUAGUUACUAUAGUUACUACUACUACCUAUAGUAGGUUAUGAAGUUAAUUUUGAAUCGAAGUCAUUUUUUCACUUCCUAUAAAACCCCACAGAAGUCCAGGGGAGAAUAAAAUUCUUCCUUCCUAAAAAUAAAUUUUGAAGGUUGAAAAAAAUAAACUGUACCUUUUUUAAUAUUAUGAUUAUUUCAAUGAGUGACAAUAGCUUCCAAACUUUGUAAUAUCACACACUUACAAAACUCAGCAGGAUUAUUAGGAUAGGGUUGUCAUAUUUAGCAAAUAGAGGAUGUUCAGUUAAGUUUGAAUUGCAGAUAAAUAAUUAAUGUUUUAGUAUAAGCAUGUUCCAAAUAUUUCAUGGAAUGUGCUUAUACUAAAAAUAUUUAGUGUUUAUUGAAAUCCAAACUUAACUGGGUAUCCUGGCAACCCUAACCUAGGACAGACUCACUACAGAGCCUACUUAAAUGCCCCACAAUUCUCCUCCCCCCCCCCCGCUUUUUAUUGGCUCUCUUCUUCUUCAUCUCAGCCUAUGCCUGUCAUUCUGUCUGCCUCCUUUUUUUGUCCCCUUGCCCACCUUUAUCUUUUUGUUGUUCUCUACUGUCCACAGUUGGCCAUUUUUAUGGAAUAUGUAUCUGGGUUAUCUGAAAUAUAUAUAUAUAUAUAUAUAGAUAUAUAUAUAUAUAUAUAUAAAAUUUAUCAUCCCAUUUCUUCAUGUAAAAGUUAUAUUAAACAUAUGCUUUGUAGGCUCUCAAAAUUAUUUCUACUUGCAUAUAAUCCUCAAAUGAUUUUCUUCCCUCCGUGGGACAUGGGCCCUCAGCAGAGAAGGGUUUGCCACUUGAACUCUAAAAAUACUGUUUGAAGUUGUUUUCUAACACAAUUACAAAAUCCACAUUAAUGCUAAUGCCAGAGUCAUUCUACAGUGAUGCAAUGAUAUGUGAUGUGUGAUGAAUGUUAGUAGCCUUACAACUCAAAAUAAAACCAGGUUUUGUUUUGUUGGGUUUUUUUCCUCAAAGAAAGCUCCCAUUUUCCUAAUGUUUCCCACCAGGUACUGUGAACACUACAACUACCAGCAGAUUAACUACCAGCAAAAACGAAUCUAAUGUGGUAAGAACUACUUUCAUUUUCAAAAUUAUUUUAAAGGCUUGCAUAGAUAGUGGGUGUAGAUUUUUAGAAUUUAUUUGUUAAAGUACAUUCUAAUUUAAUAUUUUUAGGAGAUUUGUAAAGUGGGUGCCAGGGCACUUGAUGUUUUAAUUGUUUUUUGGAUUCCCCCCACCCCGCCCUUCUAUGUUGUAGAGAAUUCUGGGAUCAAAAACCUACACAGAACAACAAAGAGCUAAAGGAAAUCAGUUUGAUGAUGUAGGAGGGAGAUCUUUUUUCUGAGGUCACUGCCAGAUGAAGCUCUGAAGGAUUAGAAGGCUUUCACUCCUUUUGCUUUGGACAGAUUUAAAGACGAGGCACAGCCAUUUGUGUUAAUUAAAAUCUCUCAAACCUUU
rnacentral:lncRNA from 1 species